rnacentral:rRNA from 1 species
UACGAAGGGGGCUAGCGUUGCUCGGAAUGACUGGGCGUAAAGGGCGCGUAGGCGGCUUGCACCGUCAGAUGUGAAAUUCCUGGGCUUAACCUGGGGGCUGCAUUUGAUACGUGUGGGCUUGAGUGCGGAAGAGGGUCGUGGAAUUCCCAGUGUAGAGGUGAAAUUCGUAGAUAUUGGGAAGAACACCAGUGGCGAGGGCGGCUAACUGGUCCAGCACUGACGCUGAGGUGCGAAAGCGUGGGGAGCAAACAGG